rnacentral:rRNA from 1 species
GUGCCAGCCGCCGCGGUAAUACGGAGGAUGCGAGCGUUAUCCGGAUUUAUUGGGUUUAAAGGGUGCGUAGGCGGAUAGAUAAGUCAGUGGUGAAAUCCUGCAGCUUAACUGUGGAAUUGCCGUUGAUACUGUCAGUCUUGAGUAUGGUUAAGGUAGGCGGAAUGUGUAAUGUAGCGGUGAAAUGCUUAGAUAUUACACAGAACACCGAUUGCGAAGGCAGCUUACUGAACCAUAACUGACGCUGAGGCACGAAAGCGUGGGGAGCGAACAGGAUUAGAUACCCCGGUAGUCC